AAGAGGAAAUGGGUAAGAAGAGCAGGAAGUGGAUCAGGGAUCAUAACAGGCUCAGUGUUCCAUCAUCGACCCUCAGUGGGAGAGUGAGGAGGGCGUUCCCAUCGAUUCCAUCAUCUUUGGAGGCAGGAGGCCAGAAGGAGUCCCUCUGGUCUACGAGUCUUUCAACCGGCAGCAUGGAGUGUUUGUUGGAGCCGCGAUGAGGUCUGAGGCCACGGCAGCUGCUGAGCAUGAAGGUGAUCGUGAACGACCCCUUCACCAUGCGGCCGUUCUUCAGCUACAACUUCAGAGACGACCUCGCUCACUGGCUGAGCAUGCAGAGCCGAAAGGCCCCCCCUCACCUUCCCAAGAUCUUCCAUGUCAACUGGUUCAGAAAAGACCCAGCGAGCGGCGCCUUCCUCUGGCCCGGCUUCAGAGAAAACGCCCGCGUGUUGGAGUGGAUCUUCAAGCUCUGCAGCAGAGAGAGGGAAGACGAGGCGGCCAAGAAGAGCAUCAUCGGCUGGCACCAUAGGAUUACUAUGCAUCAUUCAUGAAGCCACUUUGUAAUGUCUGUGAUUAAACUGGAUGAUUUCAGGUGAUGUUUACACACAACAUGUGAAAUGUUGGACCAAUAAAUGCCACUGAGAUUAUUAGGUAUUUGUAGAAACUGUACACCAAGGUUUUUAUUACAGUGCAAUGAAUAAACGUCUUCAAGAGCAGAAACAGAGACUCCUUCAUUUUUGCAGUAACUUGAAUUAAAGGAAUAAACUGGAUGUGCAGCAGAUAAACUCAUAAACUCUCACAGUUACAUGAACCAACAUGAAAUCCUGUUCUCUGCUGGAAAUGUGGCUGCAGAUUUGUGCCUUUUAAACUGUAGCUCCCAGUUUACAGCUUUGGGUAGUUUUUGUGCAGACAGACGCACAAAUAUCCAGAUUACUGAUCACACUGCAGCAGCACAAAAACAGACGAGAAAAUGAUGAAACUGUGAACUGCAGGUUUCCUGUCAUUCAGCUCAGGUCAUAAACAUCUCUUGUCUUUUAACAGAAACUAACAUCUUGCUGAAACAACAAACUGAAGGUAUUUGAUCCCAAACAGAACUCAUUUCUUGUUGACUUUAGUGUAGACAUCCUGGAGGCCUUCAGCUGUCUGCUCUGAGCUGCUUUCUGCUUUGGACACUUGGAUCCGUGCGUACACAGUUUCCUGCUGCUGUCCGCUGUCCUGCUCCCAGACGGAUGAAGGUGCAGGUCUCCCAUCAGAGAACUUGAUGUCUCCAUAGUGGAUUUCUUCCUCCUCACCUGUUUGAUUCUGGAGAAAUGUAUUGAGCAGAAAUAUUCAGGCUGAUCCUUUCACACAGCAUUAAAUCAUUAGAAAUGUUUACUGGAUGGG